AAACCCAAAGACCAGGGUGGCCUUGGGAUCCUAUCCUCCAGGCGGAUGAACAUCGCUCUCCUGACGCGCUGGCUUUGGUGGAUCGCCAAUGGGGAAGGGGGGCUUUGGCUUACCAUCAUCCGCAAUAAAUACCUCCGCGGACAGCCUCUUGCCUUUUGUCAACGCUCCGGUGGAUCCCAGUUUUUGCAGGCUAUGAUUCAGCUCCUUCCUGUUCUCUGUAUUGGUACCUCCAUUGAGCUUUGGCGGCCGCUUAGCCGCCCCCAGGACCGGGACGCCAUCGACACCCUCCUCGCCGACCUCCGCGCGAUGGCCUUCUGA
rnacentral:rRNA from 1 species